rnacentral:rRNA from 1 species
UGCGUAGGCGGCUUGAUAAGUCAGAGGUGAAAUCUACCGGCUCAACCGGCAAAUUGCCUCUGAUACUGUCAGUCUUGAGUCCGUCAGGGGAUGGUGGAAUUCCUGGUGUAGCGGUGAAAUGCGUAAAUAUCAGGAGGAACACCGGUGGCGAAGGCGGCCAUCUGGGACGGUACUGACGCUGAGGAACGAAAGCAUGGGUAUCAAACAGGAUUAGAUACCCUGGUAGUCC